UACAGAGGGGGCGAGCGUUGUUCGGAAUUACUGGGCGUAAAGGGCGCGUAGGCGGCCAACUAAGUCAGACGUGAAAUCCCUCGGCUCAACCGAGGAACGUCGAUCGAUACUGCUGUUCUUGAGGAUUGCAGAGGAGACUGGAAUUCCCGGUGUAGCGGUGAAAUGUGUAGAGAUCGGGGAGGAACACCGGUGGCGAAGGCGGGUCUCUGGGCAAUUCCUGACGCUGAGGCGCGAAAGCGUGGGGAGCAAACGGG
rnacentral:rRNA from 1 species